GUUUCUUUCAUAGAAACUACAUUUGUCUGAGUAAUUUCAAAGAGUUGAAUGUGUAGCUCCCAACUUUACAUAUUUACUUCAGGACCCACUAAAAUCACUAAAUUAUCAGUUAAAGAGGGAGAGCAAAUUUUCCCGGCAUCGAAUUAUCUUCAAAAAGAAAGAAGAGAAACAAAGUAACAAGUGGUUCAGACUCCAUACCGAAGCGACAAGAAAUCAUAAGAUAUUGAGUCAUGGAAGUUUAUAAGGUUGUCGUCCUUAUCCUCGUAAUUUUUUUUUACUGUGAAAAUGGCCGGGAAACUGGGUUUAACAAUGUCGUGGGUAGAAUUCAAGAUGGCGGACUCCCGUCCACGAAGGGUGCUGCCGCAUGGAGACAAAAGAGGUCCCCUGGUGACGAACCCAGUUGUUACACUGGCAGAUUUGUGUCAAUCCGUUUGCCGAGCAACAAAGAAGUUACUGUUCCUAUUUGUAUGAAGAUUACGUCUUCCACAACCGCAUGUAUUAGUUCGAUGGCAAACAACAACAAUCAGAGGAAAUGUGUACCAUCUCAUAUGAUCAAAGUAGAAGGAGUGGCGUUAAAUACAGCCUGUUCAUGUGCACCAUAGAAACAUUUCAACUUUACAAAGUAUCAAGAACACAGAGACUAUCACUCUCAUGUUUGAAAGAUGUUUUAAGAAAAUUGAACAUUUGUUUUAAGGCUCUUUAUAUUCUUAGGGGUUGUGCCUAAGAAUGUAAUCCUUUGCUUGAAGAAAAUUUCCCCUUCUUGACCUUCUUCCCUUGCCAACAUGUAGUUAUCGAAUUAGCGGCAUCAUUUCGUAUUGUAAUAAAGCCUAGAUUUAUCGACAGGUAUAAACGAGAAAGUAAAAGCGAAUGCGAAAACAAGACAAAAACCUAUGCGGGAUUCUUCAUCAAUUUGAAAUAGCCUCUUUGAAUGUUCACUUUCUGUUAACUGACCUUUGACUCUGUUGACUGCCUGUAAUAUGUUUUACUGUCCUACUGUUUCUUAAAAUAAAACAGUCUGACAUA